CCAAACCUACCCUAUCUUACCCAGAACCCUCAGGGGCUGCAGCUCCCAGGAUCCUUUGUAGUAACUGAGCUGCACUACAUUACCCACAAUCCUCAGGGGCUGCAGCUCCCAGAACCCUCUUUGGUGACUGAGCAAGCCCUGGACUGAAGUACCCACAACCCUAAGGGGGAAUUUAGCUCCCAGAACCCUCUGAUGUGAGUGGGCAGAACUACGUGACUCACUACCCUCAAGGGCUGUAGCUCUAAGGAUCCUCUGUGGUGAGAACGGGAGGCAGAGAAGUUAACUAUACUACCUGGAAUCCUUUUGGGGAGGUGUUGUCCAGGUGUUGAACUCAGAGGUGCUUAACAACUGAGCCACAACCCAGCCCUGUUCAGUUUCUAUUUUGAGGCAGGGUCUUGCCAAGUUGCUUAGGGUCUGAGUAAAUUGCUGAGACUAACCUUGAACUUGUGAUCCUCCUGCCUCAGCCUCCAGAGCCACUGGGAUUUCAGAUAAUGAACAUUUGAAAUAAAGUCAGAAUUUGUUAAAGGGCAAAUGACAGCCAGCCUUGAGCCCUGAUGAUCCCAGGAUCCCAUCCAGUGGGAGAACUCUAAAUUCAGUCCAAGGUAUCUUUGGAGACUGGAUGUGCAGCUCAGUGGCAGAGCACUUACCUGGCAUGUGAGAGCCCAUGGAGUCCAUCCCAGAAGAUGUCUUUGACAGGACUCAAGCAUGAGAGAAAGAUACCAUGGCCUGGGAAUGCCUGGUGGAUAUAUCUAUGGUGAGGACCAGAACUUCCUUCUCCUUGGCACCUACCCAUGGAGACUCCACUGUGGAUUCAGGAUGACUGAGGUCCAUGUGAGGAAAACAUGAGGAAGAAGCUUCCUGUGCACUGCCUGGUGUGCUGAGAAGUAUCUUUGGAGACUGGAUGUGCAGCUCAGUGGCAGAGCACUUGUGUGGCAUGUGAGAGGCCAUGGAGUCCAUCCCAGCACCACACAUACAGAAGAUGUCUUUGACAGGACUCAAGCAUGAGAGGAGCUGUGUGCCUGAGAUCAAGGCCAAAGCUGAUAAGACUCCAGCACAAAGCCUUCUAAUGCAGGACAUUGCUAUAGCAGGUAGGCAUCCCGUGUCUUUGCACAGAAGUUUUCCUAGCAUCCAGGCAUUCCACAUCUUUGCACAGAAACUUCCUAGCCACCAAGUAUGCCACAUUCAUGAAGCCAUCAGAGACCCCAGUCCCAAACACAGAACCCUUACAAUUAAGGCCAAAGGGAAGCUGUUAUAUCAGUUUUACAUGCUAUAAUGUGGACAUAAUAUUAGUUUUAAAACUGAAGAGCUGCCUGUGACCUUUUAAUACAAACAUGUCAUCCAUACUAUGAAAUUAUAAUGGAUAUAAUAGCUCUUUUGUGGACUGUAUAACUAAUAUGGUAUCCAUAUUAAGGCAUCAAAAACUGACAUAGUAGCUGAAAUGUGUAAUUUAGUGUUAAUAUUAUAUCCAUACUAUGGACCUAAAACUAAUCACAUACCUUUCCUGUGGUCUUUCAUUUUAAUACAAUAUCCAUAUUAUAGCAUCUAAAACUAAUAUAAUAGCUGCCCUGUGGCUUUUAGAACUAAUAUGAUAUCCAAAUUAUAACAUUUGCCAAAGACCCUUAAUAUUAACAUGAUAUUGAUAAACUAGCAUCUAAAACUAAUAAAAUAUUUGCCUGUGACCUUUAAUACUAAUAUGAUAUUCACAUAUACCAUCUAAAGCAAUAUAUUAACUUGCCUAUGGCCUUAAAUAUUAAUAUAAUAUUCAUACUGUGACAUAAAAAACUAUAUAAUAGCUACCCUGUGAAUUUUUUUUAAAUAUUGUUUUAGUAGUUGAUGGACACAAUUCCUUUACUUUAUUUAUGUUUUUUAAUGUGGUGCUGAGGAUUGAACUCAGUGCCUCACAUGUGCUAGGCAGGCGCUCUACAAAUGAGCCACAACCCCAGACCAACUACCCUGUGACUUUAAUAAUAAUAUAACAUCCAUAACUUUUAAUAAUAAUAUAACCCAUAAAACUAAUAUUGUAAAUUCCCUGUGUAUUAUAUUAAUAUAAUCAUUAUAUUAUCAUUAUAUUAUUAUUAAUUAUUAUAUUAAUAUAACAUCCUUGGUAUAGUAUCUAAAACUGAAUAGCUCUUCUAUGGCCUUUAAUACUAAUAAAACAUCCAUACUAUAGCUGUUAAAAGUGGCAUAAUAGUUUUCUUGCAGCCUUUCAUAGUAUACUAACAUGAUAUCCAUACUCUACCAUCUAAAUAUAAUAAAAUAGCUUCCCUGGAGUCUUUAAUAAUAAUGUAAUAUAGUACUACAGCAUCUAAAACAAAUAGAAUAGCUGCCAUGUGGCCUUCAAUACUAUCUUAUUCAUAUUAUUAGAUAAUACUGACAAAAUAGCUGCACUGUGGAUCUUUAACACAAACAUGAUAGCCAUAUAAUGGCAUGUAAAACUGAUACAACAGCUGUCCUGUGACCUUUAGUACUAACUUUAUCCAUAUGAUAGCUUUGAAAAUUGAUAUAUUACCUGCCUGUGGAUUUAGUGUUAAUAUUUUAUCCUUACUAUGGCAUCUAAAACUAAUUUAAUAGGUUCCCUGUGGAUUUUAGUACUAAUAUAAUAUUCAUAUUAUAGAAUCUAAAUCUAAUACAAUAUCUGCCUUGUGAUCUUUAAUACUAAUAAGAUAUCCAUACAAUAGAACCUAAAAUUAAUAUUAUAGGUGUCCUGUGGGCUUAAAUACUGAUAUGAUAUUCAUAUUAUAGCAUCAAAAUUGAAUAUAGUAACUGCCUGUGUUUUUUAAUUCUAAUAUGAUAUGCAUAUUAUUAUAUCAAAACCUAAGAUAAUGUAUGCCAUGAAGCUUUUAAUAAUAAGAUAUUCAUAUUAUAGUAUGUGAAAUGAAUAGCUGCACUGCCUCCUUUAUUACUAAUAUAAUACUCAUCCUUUAGCAUCUAAAUCUGAUAUAAUAAUUGCCUUGUUGCCUUUAUUACUAAUAUAAUAUAUAAUAAUAUCUAAUUACUACUAAUAUAAUAUCCAUAAAAUAGUGUAUAACUGUAAUGUAAUAGCUGCAAAGUGGCUUUUAUUAUUAACUCAAACUCCAUUCUAUAACUCCUUAAACUAGUAGCUUGUUGUGGCCAUUAAUAUUUAUAAAAGAAGUAUCCUGUGGCUUCUAGUACUAAUAUAAUAGGUAGCCUUGAAUAUUAAUAUAAUAUCCAUAUUAUGAACUCAAAAACAAAUAUACUAGCUGCCCUGUGAUCUUCAAUAUUAAUAUACAAUCUGUACUAUAGCAUAUAAAACUAAUAUCAUGGCUGCUUUGUGGUCUUUAACUAAGAUGAUAUCCAAACUAAAGCAUUUGAAGCUUACAUAAUUGUUGCCCUUUGGCAUUUAAUAUUAAUAGUAUAUCCAUAACAGAACAUCUAGAACUAAUAUACCUUUAAUACUAAUACUGUAUUUCCAUUGGUAUUAAAGAUCACAUUAUGUAUGUUAUAUUAAUAUUGAAGGCCACAGUUCAGCUAUUCUAUUGGUAUUAAAUGUGACUGGGUGGGUGUGUAUAUACUAAUAUUUAUGACCUCUAAUACUAACAUAAAAUCCAAAAUAUAGCAUUGGAAACAGACAUAAUAUUUUCCCUAUGGCCUUUAAUACUAAUAUAAUGUACAUAUCAGAAUAUCUGAAACUGAUAUAAUGACUACCCUGUGCCUUUAGUAUUAAUAUGAUAUUCACACUAUAUCAUUUAAAGCUAAUGUAAUAGCUGCUCUGUGUUUUCCAAUACUAACAUGAUAUUCAUAUCAUAUCAUCUAAAAACAACAUAACCACUGCCUUGUGCCUUGAAUACUAAUACAGUAUUCAUGCUAUACCCAAUAAAAUAAUGGCUACCCUUCAGCCUUUAAUAAUAAUAUGAUGUGAGUAUACUAGCAUCUAAAAUUGAUAAUAGCUGCUCCAUGGCCUUUAAUAUUGAUAUAACAUCCAUACUUGGCUUAUGAAACUAAAAUAAUAGUUGUCCUUUGUUCUUUUAAAACAAACACAGAAUCCAUACUGUAGUAUCUACAACUGAUAUAAAUAAUAGCUGCUCUGUGGCCUUUAUAACUAAUAUGAUUUCCAUACUAUAGUAUCUAAAAUUAAUAUAAUUGCUGCUCUGAAGAAUUUAAGAUUAACACAAUGUGCAAACUGUAGCACCUAAAACUACUUGCUGUCCUGUGUACUUUAACACCAAUAUGGUAUCCCAUAUUAUAGAAUCAAAUAUUAUACAUUAAGUGUACUGUGAUUUUAAUAGUUAUAUAUUCAUACUGUAUCAACUAAAGCUGAUAUAAUAUCUGCCCUGUGAUGUUGAAUAAUUAUGCAAUAGCCAUACUGUCCAUACUAAAGUCUCUUAAACUAAUAUAAUGGUGAGUCUCUGGCCUUUAGUACUUAUAAAAACAUGUACACUUUAGCAUGUCAAACUGUUCUAAUAGCUGCCCUGUGGCCUUUAAUAUUAAUGUAAUAUCCAUAUUACAGCAUCUAAGGCUCAUAAGAUAGAUGAACUUUAACC